CCCUAGUGUAUUUGUUUCUUAUGAAUGCAUUGAUUGAGUGAGUGACUUAUUGGGCCAGAUUGCAUUUCUCUCAGACAGACUGUAUUUCUUAUUUAUUCAGCAGCGCUGGGGAUCCAACUUGUGCAUGCUGGUUAAGCACUCUGCCGCUGAGCUACGUCUGUAGCCCGAUGAGGUUUCUUUGAUGUGAAUUUCAGCCCAGCUUUUUAUGAUCCUGCAGUGACCUUGAUAGCUAAUGCAAAUAACUGAGCCAAAAUUUUUAGAACCUCAAACUACUGGCCCGAAAAAAAUAAAAGAUUAUUUCCAUUUACCUGGUUCACUGAUUACUGAAAACACCUGCAAAAGAGCCUCCAUCUAAAUGCCUUUGAAAUGACUUGGAAAAUAAAAAUAUUUUUUCUUUACUUGAUGGAACCACUGGAAAAAAAACUAAGGUAAAAGUUUAAGUGUCAACAAUAAUCGUUAGGAGAUGUGUGAGGUGGGGAAAUAAUUUCUUGUGCUGCAUAGACUUCCAAACAUAAACCCUCCAUUAUUGCUGCAUAAAGAGUAAUGGAAGCCAGG
rnacentral:lncRNA from 1 species